AGCGGGACGCGUUCAGCUUCGGGGACUUUUUCUUCCACAUGAUCGAAGCUUUCCUCUCGAAUUAGAGGCUUCGCGAGAUCCUUUUUAUUAGUGUAAGCGGUCAUCUUCACGUGGAUGCGACCGAUCGAAGACCUCGGCGAGUCGACGAAGAAUGGCGUACAUCGAUAACGGUGUUGUGAAGUCAAAGCGUACGAUAUGGCGGUUUAGUUUAAUAUCGGAUUUCUUCUGGGCCAUUGUAAACUUCUUUGGAGUAUUCUUUAUAACAAUGUUCUCGAUGGAGAAAUCGGAUCAGUACCAGAAAGGAUUGGGCUCUAGCAAGAAAUGGGAUGGUGGUCAUGGUGGAGGACCCGGAGGUGGUUCUGGAGGAGGUCCAUAUGGUGGUGGGCCCGGUGGCCGCCGUGGGCCAUAUACCUUGAGCGAUCUCCGGUCUAAUGACCAUAGUUCCCUUCCUGCUUGUGGUUCAUGCUGUGGCGGUUAACGUUGUGAUCCAGGGUUAUUGCUCAAACAACUUUAUGUUCUUAUAGGGAAAGGCUUUGUUCAAAAGUGACCCUCGUUUGGCACGACUUUGGCACGUGACGGACUACUUCAAUGAAGUACCCCAUCUGGGAAAAGCAUGAUGUUAAUAUUUUUCGGCCAUUGGAUGGGGAAGAAAAUGUUGGCCAUCAUGUCAUCGGCAUAGACUGCAUCAGAGCAAAAUGCAUUUCUUGAUUCCCAGGGUGGAAUUCCAAAUCUUUUGAUAUAGUUUUCCUAAGCAGAUAUAUGAUUGUCUUAAGGUGGUUGUUGAUUCAGUGACUGCAAAAUCUCAGCAUUGGAUGAGGCACAAGACUGCGUCUCAUCUUGCAAAAUUAUAAUAAUGUCUUUGGAGUUGUUUUGAGAAUUACAGCUUGUGGACUUGGGUUGUGUG